GUCUUCGUGGUUUAGCUGUUAGGACGCUGGGCGCGUAUUCCAGAGGUCCGCGGUUCGAAUCCCGACGAGGCCA
rnacentral:tRNA from 1 species